UUAAUUUACAAUUUACUUAUAUUUUUAUUUUACUUUUUUUGAGAAGUUUCUUUUUUCUUAGUAAAUAGAUAAGAAUAGAUUUUUUUAGUAAUAGUUUAUUAGUACUGUGAAGGGUUGUUGAAAUAUAGUUGAAAUUAAUUAUUUGUAAAGUAUAUUUUAUUGAUAGUACCUUUUGUAUCAGGGUUAAUUAAUUUUAUUUAAUUUAUUUUAUUUUCUCGAUAUUAUAAGAGCUAAUAAUUUAAUUUGUUUAUUGUAGUAAAAAUAUCAAUAAUAAUUAUUUGUAAAGAAAUUUUAUUCGUUUAUAAAUAUAUCUAGUUUUUUAAGAAAUAAAUUGAAUUUAAUUCUGUUUUAUUAUUUUGUUUUCUUGUUUAAAUUUAUAAAGUGCAGAUUAAAAAUGAUAGGGGAUAAGCUCUGUCUUUUUCUAAAAUAUAGUUUUAUUUAAUUUUUGUAGGUUUAGAAACAUCCAUCAUUUGAAUUACGUUAUAGUUUAUAUUAUUUUGUUUUUGAUUUAUUUUUAUUUAGGAUAAGUAUUAAAAUAUUUAAGUUAAUAUAAUUCUUAAUGUAAUUAUGAUUAAAUUAGUAUAUUAUUAUUGUUAAUUGAUUAAAAAGAGUUAAUUUAUAAUAAGGAAUUCGGCAAAUAUAAUGUUCGCCUGUUUAACAAAAACAUGUCUUCUCGUUUAUUUGGGAAGUCUGACCUGCCCAGUGAAAUAAUUAUUUAACGGCCGCGGUAUCUUGACCGUGCAAAGGUAGCAUAAUCAUUAGUCUUUUAAUAGAAGACUGGAAUGAAGGGUUUGACGAAAUAUUAACUGUCUCAUUUUGAUAUUUUAAAAUUUAAUUUUUGAGUUAAAAAGCUUAAAUCUUAUUGGAAGACGAGAAGACCCUAUAGAGCUUUAUAAUUAAACUUAUAAUUUAAGCUUGUUUAAUAAAGUAGGAUUAUUAUUUUGAUUUUUUCGUUGGGGUGAUGAUAAAUAUAUAUUUAACUUUUAUAUAACAAAAUUGUUCAUUUAUUUAUGAGUAUUAGAUCCAUUAUUAUUGA
rnacentral:rRNA from 1 species